rnacentral:tRNA from 1 species
GCUGGUAUAGUAUAAUUUAUUACAUUGGUCUUGUAAACCAAAGAUUGUGUUUCAUAUCAGCU